rnacentral:rRNA from 1 species
GAUCCUGGCUCAGGAUGAACGCUAGCUACAGGCUUAACACAUGCAAGUCGGAGGGGCAGCAUGAACUUAGCUUGCUAAGUUUGAUGGCGACCGGCGCACGGGUGAGUAACACGUAUCCAACCUGCCGAUGACUCGGGGAUAGCCUUUCGAAAGAAAGAUUAAUACCCGAUGGCAUAGUUCUUCCGCAUGGUAGAACUAUUAAAGAAUUUCGGUCAUCGAUGGGGAUGCGUUCCAUUAGGUUUGG